rnacentral:rRNA from 1 species
UACGUAGGGGGCAAGCGUUGUCCGGAUUUAUUGGGCGUAAAGAGCGUGUAGGCGGUCAGGUAGGUCCGUUAUGAAAACUCGAGGCUCAACCUCGAGACGCCGAUGGAAACCAUCUGACUAGAGUCCGGAAGAGGAGAGUGGAAUUCCUGGUGUAGCGGUGAAAUGCGCAGAUAUCAGGAAGAACACCCGUGGCUAAGGCGGCUCUCUAGUACGGUACUGACGCUGAGACGCGAAAGCGUGGGGAGCGAACAGG